CCUACGGGCGGCUGCAGUGGGGGAUAUUGCACAAUGGGGGGAACCCUGAUGCAGCGACGCCGCGUGAGUGAAGAAGUAAUUCGUUAUGUAAAGCUCUAUCAGCAGGGAAGAAUAAAUGACGGUACCUGAGUAAGAAGCCCCGGCUAACUACGUGCCAGCAGCCGCGGUAAUACGUAGGGGGCAAGCGUUAUCCGGAUUUACUGGGUGUAAAGGGAGCGUAGACGGCGAUGCAAGCCAGAUGUGAAAGCCCGCGGCUCAACUGCGGUAGUGCAUUUGAAACUGUUUUUCUUGAGUACCGGAGAGGUCAUCGGAAUUCCUUGUGUAGCGGUGAAAUGCGUAGAUAUAAGGAAGAACACCAGUGGCGAAGGCGGAUGACUGGACGGCAACUGACGGUGAGGCGCGAAAGCGUGGGGAGCAAACAGGAUUAGAUACCCGAGUAGUC
rnacentral:rRNA from 1 species